GCAAUAUUAUCUUAGUGGCGAACGGGUGAGUAACGCGUUGGUGACCUGCCCCGAAGAGAGGGAUAGCAGUUCGAAAGGACUGAUAAUACCCCAUGUGGCUGUCGGUUUUAGAAUCUGAUAACUAAACGGCGAAAGUCGCUUCGGGAGGGGCCUGCGUCCCAUCAGCUAGUUGGUAGGGUAAUGGCCUACCAAGGCUAUGACGGGUAGGGGACCUGAGAGGGUGGCCCCCCACAAUGGAACUGAAACACGGUCCAUACACCUACGGGUGGCAGCAGUAGGGAAUAUUGGUAAUGUGCGAAAGCGCGAACCAGCAACGCCGCGUGCGCGAUGAAGGCCUUCGGGUCGUAAAGUGCUUUUAGAGAGGAUGAGGAAGGACAGUACUUUCUGAAUAAGCCUCGGCUAACUACGUGCCAGCAGCCGCGGUAAAACGUAGGAGGCAAGCGUUAUCCGGAUUUACUGGGCGUAAAGCGCAUGCAGGUGGUUUUGUAAGUUGGAUGUGAAAGCUCCUGGCUUAACUGGGAGAGGUCGUUCAAAACUACAAGACUUGAGAUUGGUAGAGGAAAAUGGAGUUCCGGGUGUAGUGGUGAAAUGCGUAGAUAUCCGGAGGAACACCAGUGGCGAAAGCGGUUUUCUGGACCAAUUCUGACACUCAGAUGCGAAAGCUAAGGUAGCAAACGGGAUUAGAGACCCCGGUAGUCUUAGCUGUAAACUAUGUGA
rnacentral:rRNA from 1 species